ensembl:sense_intronic 1700123O21Rik RIKEN cDNA 1700123O21 gene
CCCACUGAGAUAAGAGAAGCAGUAGCCUAGGCUUUGAAGAUUUGCUGUCUGCUGGAAUAACUGUGGACUCUGGGAUUUGCUGGGUCUUCGUUGGCUUAUGGCUAUGUUACCCAGGACUCUAAAGUGAGGAUAGAUCUUGAGUCAGAAAAGAAUGUGAAUGAUGUGUGUGUGUCUCAUUAGUCAAGGGUCAAGAUCAUGACUGAGACCUAAGAGAAAGCCUGAACUCUGAGCUAGCCUCUGGGAGACUCUGGAUGCAAGCUUCCAGAUGUACACAUAGAUUCUGGAUUCUCAUUUGCAGGAGAUUGGAGCAGCCCUGAGGAACUAUUUUGACAAAGCAUUUUGACUUGUUUUUCACCCGACUGAGGAUGAAUUUGUACUCAUUUGCCUGCAACCUCUCUCCUGGGGUGUCCUCGUGACCAAAGCCACACCUUGAGAAAGAAGCAGCUUAGGCACGGUUGCCUUUGAGACAGGAGAAGGCUUCGUACAUGCUCUGGAGCAACGCUGGGAUAAAAAGUAUUUGGAGAACAUUGAUGGCCUAAUAGCUUGGUGAAAUGAGAAACUUCAUGAAAGCACUUCGCUAGAUGAAAAUUGCUAUACAAAUUACGUCCUGAUUAUGUGCACUGAACAAAAGAUUUCUUGAACAGAAACUGUGGUGCAGGUGGAGAUAAAGAAAUACGUC